UAAAGAUUUUAAGGGCGUACGGUGGAUGCCUUGGCGAUAUCAGCCGAAGAAGGACGCGGUAAGCUGCGAUAAGCUACGGAGAGGUGCAAGCAACCUGUGACCCGUAGAUAUCCGAAUGGGGGAACCCGGCAGUGGUUAUGCACUGUCACCCAUAGCUUAGACUAUGAGGAGGGCACCUGGGGAACUGAAACAUCUAAUUACCCAGAGGAACAGUAAUCAAACGAGAUUUUCUUAGUAGCGGCGAGCGAACGGGAAAGAGGCCAAACCGGAGCGGGCAACCGCACCGGGGUUGAGGACAGUCAUCAAGUGUAAAUGAGGUAGAAGAAUCGAGCUGGAAAGCUCAGCCGCAGAAGGUGAAAGCCCUGUAAUCGAAACCUUGCAUACAUGGGACUGUAUCCAGAGUACCACGAGACACGUGAAACCUUGUGGGAAGCAGGGGGGACCACCCUCCAAGCCAAAAUACUGAUAUCGACCGAUAGCGCAUAGUACCGUGAGGGAAAGGUGAAAAGAACCCCUGGCGGGGAGUGAAAGAGAACCUGAAACCGUAUGUCUACAAACAGUCGAAGUCUGUAUAUAUAUCAGGACGACGGCGUGCCUAUUGAAGAAUGAACCGACGAGUUACUGUUGCUAGCGAGGUUAAGUGGAAAACAUGGAGCCGCAGCGAAAGCGAGUCUGAACAGGGCGUUCAGUUAGUAAUAGUAGACCCGAAACCGUAGUGAUCUAUCCAUGGCCAGGUUGAAGCACAGGUAAAAUUGUGUGGAGGACCGAACUCGUGAGCGUUGAAAAGCUUUGGGAUGAGUUGUGGAUAGGGGUGAAAUGCCAAUCGAACACGGAGAUAGCUGGUUCUCCCCGAAAUAGCUUUAGGGCUAGCCUCGAGGUAGAGAGUAUAGGCGGUAGAGCACUGAUCGGGCUAGGGGCCAUACCGGUUACCGAACCUAGUCAAACUACGAAUGGCUAUACUUAUACUCGGGAGUCAGACAGUGAAUGAUAAGGUCCAUUGUCAAGAGGGAAACAGCCCAGAACACCGACUAAGGUCCCCAAUGUUACACUAAGUGGCGAAGGAUGUGGAAUUUCCAAAACAACCAGGAUGUUGGCUUAGAAGCAGCCACCAUUUAAAGAGUGCGUAAUAGCUCACUGGUCGAGAGACUCUGCGCCGAAAAUGUCCGGGGCUAAAGUGUAAAACCGAAGUCGUGUCAUAUGCAGCAAUGUAUAUGGGUAGGGGAGCGUUCUCAUCGGGCUGAAGCAGUACCGUAAGGAGUUGUGGACUGAUGAGAAGUGAGAAUGUCGGUAUGAGUAGCGAAAAGAAUGGUGAGAAUCCAUUCCACCGAAAGCCUAAGGGUUCCUGAGCAACGAUCGUCGUCUCAGGGUAAGUCGGGACCUAAGCCGAGGCGGAAAAGCGUAGGCGAUGGACAACAGGUUGAAAUUCCUGUACCGGUGUGAAUCGUUUGAUCGAUGGAGUGACACAGUAAGGUAGGUCAGCACGCGAUUGGAAGUGCGUGUUUAAGCAGGUAGGUUGAGCUAUAGGUAAAUCCGUAGUUCUAAAAGCUGAGAUGUGAUGACGAGCGACUAGCAAUAGUCGCGAAGUGAUUGAUCCUACACUGUCGAGAAAAGCUUCUAGGUAGAGACACAUCGCCCGUACCAAAACCGACACAGGUAGGCGGGGAGAGAAUCCUAAGGUGCGCGGGAAAACCCUCGUUAAGGAACUCGGCAAAAUGCCUCCGUAACUUCGGGAAAAGGAGGACUCAUGUAGUGUGAAGAGCAGCAACGCAUGGAGCAUGAAUGAGUGGCACAAGAGAGGCGCAAGCGACUGUUUACCACAAACACAGGUGCCUGCUAAAGCGAAAGCUGAUGUAUAGGUGCUGACACCUGCCCGGUGCUGGAAGGUUAAGAGGAGGGGUUAGACUUCGGUCGAAGCUCUGAAUUGAAGCCCCAGUAAACGGCGGCCGUAACUAUAACGGUCCUAAGGUAGCGAAAUUCCUUGUCGGGU
rnacentral:rRNA from 1 species